rnacentral:rRNA from 1 species
UCGGGUGACGAGCGGCGGACGGGUGAGUAAUGUCUGGGAAACUGCCUGAUGGAGGGGGAUAACUACUGGAAACGGUAGCUAAUACCGCAUAAUGUCGCAAGACCAAAGUGGGGGACCUUCGGGCCUCAUGCCAUCAGAUGUGCCCAGAUGGGAUUAGCUAGUAGGUGGGGUAACGGCUCACCUAGGCGACGAUCCCUAGCUGGUCUGAGAGGAUGACCAGCCACACUGGAACUGAGACACGGUCCAGACUCCUACGGGAGGCAGCAGUGGGGAAUAUUGCACAAUGGGCGCAAGCCUGAUGCAGCCAUGCCGCGUGUGUGAAGAAGGCCUUCGGGUUGUAAAGCACUUUCAGCGGGGAGGAAGGCGUUAAGGUUAAUAACCUUGGCGAUUGACGUUACCCGCAGAAGAAGCACCGGCUAACUCCGUGCCAGCAGCCGCGGUAAUACGGAGGGUGCAAGCGUUAAUCGGAAUUACUGGGCGUAAAGCGCACGCAGGCGGUCUGUCAAGUCGGAUGUGAAAUCCCCGGGCUCAACCUGGGAACUGCAUUCGAAACUGGCAGGCUAGAGUCUUGUAGAGGGGGGUAGAAUUCCAGGUGUAGCGGUGAAAUGCGUAGAGAUCUGGAGGAAUACCGGUGGCGAAGGCGGCCCCCUGGACAAAGACUGACGCUCAGGUGCGAAAGCGUGGGGAGCAAACAGGAUUAGAUACCCUGGUAGUCCACGCCGUAAACGAUGUCGAUUUGGAGGUUGUGCCCUUGAGGCGUGGCUUCCGGAGCUAACGCGUUAAAUCGACCGCCUGGGGAGUACGGCCGCAAGGUUAAAACUCAAAUGAAUUGACGGGGGCCCGCACAAGCGGUGGAGCAUGUGGUUUAAUUCGAUGCAACGCGAAGAACCUUACCUGGUCUUGACAUCCACAGAACUUUCCAGAGAUGGAUUGGUGCCUUCGGGAACUGUGAGACAGGUGCUGCAUGGCUGUCGUCAGCUCGUGUUGUGAAAUGUUGGGUUAAGUCCCGCAACGAGCGCAACCCUUAUCCUUUGUUGCCAGCGGUUCGGCCGGGAACUCAAAGGAGACUGCCAGUGAUAAACUGGAGGAAGGUGGGGAUGACGUCAAGUCAUCAUGGCCCUUACGACCAGGGCUACACACGUGCUACAAUGGCAUAUACAAAGAGAAGCGACCUCGCGAGAGCAAGCGGACCUCAUAAAGUAUGUCGUAGUCCGGAUUGGAGUCUGCAACUCGACUCCAUGAAGUCGGAAUCGCUAGUAAUCGUAGAUCAGAAUGCUACGGUGAAUACGUUCCCGGGCCUUGUACACACCGCCCGUCACACCAUGGGAGUGGGUUGCAAAAGAAGUAGGUAGCUUAACCUUCGGGAGGGCGCUUACCACUUUGUGAU